UUUGCAGGUGAUGUCAUAUACCCGUCGUCUAUCAGGUCUACUACUAAACGCCUUAACUGCGCGCGGUAGACUUGUAGGUGGCAUUACUGGGUAAUCCAAAACCUGCAAACGAUCUAAAAACCCGCGCCAAGGCGCGGGUUUUUUU
rfam:Izhakiella sp. D4N98 NODE_6_length_247640_cov_108.729_ID_2963, whole genome shotgun sequence.